AAACAACGUUGAAGUUUCAACGUUGAAUCCACAACCUUUUUUCAACGUUGAAACAACGUUGAAGGUGCAACAUAUUUUCAACGUUGAAUGUUCGUCGAUAUUUCAACGUUGAAACAACGUUGAAGCUGCAACAUAUUUUCAACGUUGAAUGUUCGUCGAUAUUUCAACAUUGAAACAACAUUGAAGCUGCAACAUAUUCUCAGCGUUUGAUGUUCGUUGAUAUUUCAACGUUGAAACAACGUUGAAGAUUCAACAUGUUUUCAACGUUGAGUAUUUGAUAUUGAAGAGUUGAAACAAGGUUUAAAAACACAAAGUUGACUUUUUCUUGAUUUCAACGUUGAAACAAUGUGGAAGAUGCAAUAUAUUUUCAACUUUAGGAAAGUCAGGAAAAUUAAACGUUGAAACAACUGCUAAUGAGUAUUGAACACUUUAGUUUUUAAGUCAAAAUAUAAAGGUGUCUUUAGAAAAUAUUAUAUAUAUAAUUAAUAAUUAUACAUAAUAAAUGAAACGCAUGCAUUAUGAAUUGAUUUACUCAAAAGAGUUGUGCCAACAGUUAGUACCAUCAAAGUAUUUUAAAUAGAAUACUAUAGAACAAAUAAAAAUAAUUAAUUCAAUUCAUUUAUUGAUAACACCAUUAUUUAUUCCGAAUUAAUGUUCUUAAAAUUAGAGUAAUAUAGAUCCGUGCCGUAUACUCUUGCGCAGAUUGUUAUACUCUAGCAAAUCUAAGAAGUCUUAUUUUAUUAGAUUGUGUUUUGUUGUGUGUAUUAAUUCUAUAAUCUUUCUUUUCACAAAAUAUAAAAAAAAAUCAAAUAAACGCAUAACAAUUUUCACACUGACAAUUGACCCCGGUCAAGUAGCAUUACUUAAGAUCCACUCCCUAAAACCUUCAAGAUAUCAGAUAAGGAGUGCCUCUCGCUUAGUUGGUCACUUUCAGUGUCAGGAUAACCUUGUUAUGCAAUUUUCUUGCUGGACAGAGUAUAGCUGUUUGCAGCUUAUCUAGGUCAAAAUUUGAAUUCAACUGAUGGACAAGAAGUGCGCGUCUCCUUUCUGUUCAUAUUUAAUGUAUUUUCAAGCUAUAUACACAAGGAUUAAGGCUGGAAUAUCAACUUCUGCUAAUUUGCCAUAAGGUUCAAUAAACUAGUGGUGCAGGGAAUUGAUUGUAUAGUCAGCCUUGGUUGCAUCAGAUUCUUCGCCCGGGAAAAUUAUACAAAGGAAUGUAACAUUUUGCUUUUGCUGUAGAGGGUGGAUUCUCGUGUUCAUUUCUUUCAUUCGUGGGACUUAACUAUAUGCAAGAUUAAAAUCAAUGGAUCCGCCACUUUGUGGAACUUAGCAGUGUAGGACAGACGCGAACUUUGAAGAACCUGGAUGUAAUUACUGUGACCCCCUUUUCACUAGGAUUAUAAAUUUUGUCAAGCAGUGAUUUUUGAGUUUCAGUGAUUGAAUCCGAAUUUGUGUUUGUCUUUAAAGUACAGACUAAAAUAAAUUCUCUCACAAUCGUAAAACUUGAUUAUAACAUAUAAUUAUAAAUAUUACGCAACUUGAAUAAAAAAAUGAUUAAAAUUUGAAAUAUAGCCUAUUUGUUUAUAAAGCAAAAUGAAAUAUGAAUUCAACGUGAUUUCAACCAAAUAUCAACGUUUGUACAACCGAAAAAUUUCAACCAAAUCUCAACCUAAUUACAACCUAUGUUCACUUUUGUUCAAGGUUGAUAUUUGACGUUGAAACAACGUUGAAGCUUCAACGUUGCAUCAACUUUCAUUUGCAACCAAAAAUCAACCAUAAAUCAACCAAAACUUCAACCCAUUUUCAACGUUUAUUCAACGUUGAAAAUUGACGUUGAAACAACGUCAUGUCUCAACGUUGCCUCAACUUUCAUAUGCAACCAAAAUUUAACGUUGAUUCAACGUUGAAGUGCGACGUUGAUUCAACGUUGAAUCAACGUUGAAAUGCCUGC